rnacentral:sRNA from 1 species
AGCUUCGACCAAGGUGCGACUCGAGCGCCAGCGAGAGAGCGUUGCCGCAGGCAACGACCCGAAGGGCGAAGCGCGCAGCGCUGAGUAAUCCUUCCCCCACCACCA